rnacentral:rRNA from 1 species
UACGUAGGGGGCUAGCGUUGUCCGGAUUUAUUGGGCGUAAAGAGCGUGUAGGCGGCCAGGUAGGUCUGGUGUGAAAACUCGAGGCUUAACCUCGAGAUGUCAUCGGAAACCAUUUGUCUAGAGUCCGGAAGAGGAGAGUGGAAUUCCUGGUGUAGCGGUGAAAUGCGCAGAUAUCAGGAAGAACACCAAUGGCGAAAGCAGCUCUCUGGGACGGUACUGACGCUGAGACGCGAAAGCGUGGGGAGCGAACAGG